rnacentral:rRNA from 1 species
AUUGAACGCUGGCGGCAUGCUUUACACAUGCAAGUCGAACGAGUGGCGAACGGGUGAGUAAUAUAUCGGAACGUACCGAGUAAUGGGGGAUAACCAAUCGAAAGAUUGGAUAAUACCCCAUAUUAUUCGAGGGGCCGCUAACUGAUUAGCUAGUUGGGGGGGUAAAGGCCUACCAAGGCGACGAUCAGUAGCGGGUCUGAGAGGACGAUCCGCCACACUGGGACUGAGACACGGCCCAGACUCCUACGGGAGGCAGCAGUGGGGAAUUUUGGACAAUGGGCGCAACCCUGAUCCAGCCAUGCCGCGUGUAUGAAGAAGGCCUUCGGGUUGUAAAGUACUUUUGUUAGGGAAGCGGUACCUAAAGAAUAAGCACCGGCUAACUACGUGCCAGCAGCCGCGGUAAUAC